UCCUUGGUGGUCCAGUGGUUAGGGCUCUGUGCUUCCUCUGCAGGGGGCACAGGUUUGAUCCCUGCUCAGGGAA
rfam:TPA: Bos taurus chromosome 2, whole genome shotgun sequence.